GACGAACGCUGGCGGCGUGCUUAACACAUGCAAGUCGAACGGACAGGCCCUGCUUUUGUGGGGUGCUCGAGUGGCGAACGGGUGAGUAACACGUGAGUAACCUGCCCUUGACAUUGGGAUAACUUCAGGAAACUGGGGCUAAUACCGGAUAGGAUCUCAUGCUACAUGGUGGGGGAUGGAAAGUUUCGGCGUAUGGGGCUGUAAUAGCGGCUUAUGAGCUUGUUGGUGGCGUAGGGGCGUUACAGGGCGUUGACGGGUAGCCGGCCUGGGAGGGUGACCGGCCCCAGUGGGCCUGAGAUACGGCCCAGACUCCUACGGGAGGCAGCAGUGGGGAAUAUUGCACAAUGGGCGGAAGCCUGAUGCAGCAACGCCGCGUCCGGGAUGACGGCCUUCGGGUUGUAAACCGCUUUCGCCUGUGACGAAGCGUGAGUGACGGUAAUGGGUAAAGAAGCACCGGCUAACUACGUG
rnacentral:rRNA from 1 species